rnacentral:rRNA from 1 species
UCGGGAAUUUUGGGCAAUGGGGGAAACCCUGACCCAGCAACGCCGCGUGAAGGAUGAAGUAUUUCGGUAUGUAAACUUCGAAAGAAUAGGAAGAAUAAAUGACGGUACUAUUUGUAAGGUCCGGCUAACUACGUGCCAGCAGCCGCGGUAAUACGUAGGGACCAAGCGUUGUUCGGAUUUACUGGGCGUAAAGGGCGCGUAGGCGGUUUGUCAAGUCAGUUGUGAAAUCUCCGAGCUUAACUCGGAACGGUCAACUGAUACUGUCAAACUAGAGUACAGAAGGGGCAAUCGGAAUUCUUGGUGUAGCGGUGAAAUGCGUAGAUAUCAAGAGGAACACCUGAGGCGAAGGCGGGUUGCUGGGCUGAUACUGACGCUGAAGCGCGAAAGCUAGGGUAGCAAACGGGAUUAGAUACCCAAGUAGUCCCUGAGCGGGCUGGCAAGGCGCAU